UACGUAGGGGGCAAGCGUUGUCCGGAUUUAUUGGGCGUAAAGAGCGUGUAGGCGGCCGCACAGGUCCGUUGUGGAAACUGGAGGCUUAACCUUCAGACGUCGAUGGAACCGUGCGGCUAGAGUCCGGAAGAGGAGAAUGGAAUUCCUGGUGUAGCGGUGAAAUGACGCAGAUAUCAGGAAGAACACCCGUGGCUAAGGCGGCUCUCUAGUACGGUACUGACGCUGAGACGCGAAAGCGUGGGGAGCGAACAGG
rnacentral:rRNA from 1 species